CGCCCUGGUCUUCAUUGCCGACGGGUGCCUGCGCGUGGGGACGUACCUUUUGGUUCCUGCCUCUGACGGGGGUUCACCCGAUACCGGAUAAACCCUUACGGGGAACGAUUUAUCGCCAAUGAUAUAUAUUUGUCUGAAUUGCUCGUUGGUGGAUUGAUGUGCCUUCCAUUAGAUUGUUGGUGAUGGUCUGAGAGGAUGAUCAGCCAUGGAUAGGGGAACUGAGGCCCAGACCCCCCCCGGAGGCACUGAUGGGGAAUAUUGACUCCUGGGGGAGGGCCUGAUCCGGACAUGUGGCCAAUGGGAUAAAGGCCCAACGGUUGUAAAGCUCUUUUGGACGAGAAGAUUAUGGCUUGUCCACUUCUUUUGUCCCGGAAUAACUUCUCGCCAGCACCCGCGGUAAUACGAAGGGGGCUAGCGUUGCUCGGAAUCACUGGGCGCCAAGGGUGCGUAUAAUACGUUUCUAACCCAGAGUUGAAAGGAUGGUUGGGUCUCCAGAACUGCCUUUGAUACUGGAAAUUUUGAGGUCAAAAGAGGUGAGUG
rnacentral:rRNA from 1 species